AGCGUACACGGUGGAUGCCCUGGCAGUCAGAGGCGAUGAAGGACGUGCUAAUCUGCGAUAAGCGUCGGUGAGGUGAUAUGAACCGUUAUAACCGGCGAUUUCCGAAUGGGGAAACCCAGUGUGUUUCGACACACUAUCAUUAACUGAAUCCAUAGGUUAAUGAGGCGAACCGGGGGAACUGAAACAUCUAAGUACCCCGAGGAAAAGAAAUCAACCGAGAUUCCCCCAGUAGCGGCGAGCGAACGGGGAGGAGCCCAGAGCCUGAAUCAGUGUGUGUGUUAGUGGAAGCGUCUGGAAAGGCGUGCGAUACAGGGUGACAGCCCCGUACACAAAAAUGCACAUAUUGUGAGCUCGAUGAGUAGGGCGGGACACGUGGUAUCCUGUCUGAAUAUGGGGGGACCAUCCUCCAAGGCUAAAUACUCCUGACUGACCGAUAGUGAACCAGUACCGUGAGGGAAAGGCGAAAAGAACCCCGGCGAGGGGAGUGAAAAAGAACCUGAAACCGUGUACGUACAAGCAGUGGGAGCCUCUUAAUGGGGUGACUGCGUACCUUUUGUAUAAUGGGUCAGCGACUUAUAUUCUGUAGCAAGGUUAACCGAAUAGGGGAGCCGAAGGGAAACCGAGUCUUAACUGGGCGUUAAGUUGCAGGGUAUAGACCCGAAACCCGGUGAUCUAGCCAUGGGCAGGUUGAAGGUUGGGUAACACUAACUGGAGGACCGAACCGACUAAUGUUGAAAAAUUAGCGGAUGACUUGUGGCUGGGGGUGAAAGGCCAAUCAAACCGGGAGAUAGCUGGUUCUCCCCGAAAGCUAUUUAGGUAGCGCCUCGUGAAUUCAUCUCCGGGGGUAGAGCACUGUUUCGGCAAGGGGGUCAUCCCGACUUACCAACCCGAUGCAAACUGCGAAUACCGGAGAAUGUUAUCACGGGAGACACACGGCGGGUGCUAACGUCCGUCGUGAAGAGGGAAACAACCCAGACCGCCAGCUAAGGUCCCAAAGUCAUGGUUAAGUGGGAAACGAUGUGGGAAGGCCCAGACAGCCAGGAUGUUGGCUUAGAAGCAGCCAUCAUUUAAAGAAAGCGUAAUAGCUCACUGGUCGAGUCGGCCUGCGCGGAAGAUGUAACGGGGCUAAACCAUGCACCGAAGCUGCGGCAGCGACACUAUGUGUUGUUGGGUAGGGGAGCGUUCUGUAAGCCUGUGAAGGUGGCCUGUGAGGGUUGCUGGAGGUAUCAGAAGUGCGAAUGCUGACAUAAGUAACGAUAAAGCGGGUGAAAAGCCCGCUCGCCGGAAGACCAAGGGUUCCUGUCCAACGUUAAUCGGGGCAGGGUGAGUCGACCCCUAAGGCGAGGCCGAAAGGCGUAGUCGAUGGGAAACAGGUUAAUAUUCCUGUACUUGGUGUUACUGCGAAGGGGGGACGGAGAAGGCUAUGUUGGCCGGGCGACGGUUGUCCCGGUUUAAGCGUGUAGGCUGGUUUUCCAGGCAAAUCCGGAAAACCAAGGCUGAGGCGUGAUGACGAGGCACUACGGUGCUGAAGCGACAAAUGCCCUGCUUCCAGGAAAAGCCUCUAAGCAUCAGGUAACAUCAAAUCGUACCCCAAACCGACACAGGUGGUCAGGUAGAGAAUACCAAGGCGCUUGAGAGAACUCGGGUGAAGGAACUAGGCAAAAUGGUGCCGUAACUUCGGGAGAAGGCACGCUGAUAUGUAGGUGAAGCGACUUGCUCGUGGAGCUGAAAUCAGUCGAAGAUACCAGCUGGCUGCAACUGUUUAUUAAAAACACAGCACUGUGCAAACACGAAAGUGGACGUAUACGGUGUGACGCCUGCCCGGUGCCGGAAGGUUAAUUGAUGGGGUUAGCGGUAACGCGAAGCUCUUGAUCGAAGCCCCGGUAAACGGCGGCCGUAACUAUAACGGUCCUAAGGUAGCGAAAUUCCUUGUCGGGUAAGUUCCGACCUGCACGAAUGGCGUAAUGAUGGCCAGGCUGUCUCCACCCGGGACUCAGUGAAAUUGAACUCGCUGUGAAGAUGCAGUGUACCCGCGGCAAGACGGAAAGACCCCGUGAACCUUUACUAUAGCUUGACACUGAACAUUGAGCCUUGAUGUGUAGGAUAGGUGGGAGGCUUUGAAGUGUGGACGCCAGUCUGCAUGGAGCCGACCUUGAAAUACCACCCUUUAAUGUUUGAUGUUCUAACGUUGGCCCGUAAUCCGGGUUGCGGACAGUGUCUGGUGGGUAGUUUGACUGGGGCGGUCUCCUCCUAAAGAGUAACGGAGGAGCACGAAGGUUGGCUAAUCCUGGUCGGACAUCAGGAGGUUAGUGCAAUGGCAUAAGCCAGCUUGACUGCGAGCGUGACGGCGCGAGCAGGUGCGAAAGCAGGUCAUAGUGAUCCGGUGGUUCUGAAUGGAAGGGCCAUCGCUCAACGGAUAAAAGGUACUCCGGGGAUAACAGGCUGAUACCGCCCAAGAGUUCAUAUCGACGGCGGUGUUUGGCACCUCGAUGUCGGCUCAUCACAUCCUGGGGCUGAAGUAGGUCCCAAGGGUAUGGCUGUUCGCCAUUUAAAGUGGUACGCGAGCUGGGUUUAGAACGUCGUGAGACAGUUCGGUCCCUAUCUGCCGUGGGCGCUGGAGAACUGAGGGGGGCUGCUCCUAGUACGAGAGGACCGGAGUGGACGCAUCACUGGUGUUCGGGUUGUCAUGCCAAUGGCACUGCCCGGUAGCUAAAUGCGGAAGAGAUAAGUGCUGAAAGCAUCUAAGCACGAAACUUGCCCCGAGAUGAGUUCU
rnacentral:rRNA from 1 species